UGGGGAGUAUUGCACAAUGGGCGCAAGCCUGAUGCAGCCAUGCCGCGUGUGUGAAGAAGGCCUUCGGGUUGUAAAGCACUUUCAGCGAGGAGGAAGGUGGUGAACUUAAUACGUUCAUCAAUUGACGUUACUCGCAGAAGAAGCACCGGCUAACUCCGUGCCAGCAGCCGCGGUAAUACGGAGGGUGCAAGCGUUAAUCGGAAUUACUGGGCGUAAAGCGCACGCAGGCGGUUUGUUAAGUCAGAUGUGAAAUCCCCGGGCUCAACCUGGGGACUGCAUUUGAAACUGGCAAGCUAGAGUCUCGUAGAGGGGGGUAGAAUUCCAGGUGUAGCGGUGAAAUGCGUAGAGAUCUGGAGGAAUACCGGUGGCGAAGGCGGCCCCCUGGACGAAGACUGACGCUCAGGUGCGAAAGCGUGGGGAGCAAACAGAUUAGAUACCCUGGUAGUCCACGCUGUAAACGAUGUCGAUUUUGGAGGUUGUGCCCUUGAGGCGUGGNUUCCGGAGCUAACG
rnacentral:rRNA from 1 species